rnacentral:rRNA from 1 species
UACGUAGGGGGCAAGCGUUGUCCGGAAUCAUUGGGCGUAAAGAGCGUGUAGGCGGCCAGAUAAGUCCGCUGUGAAAUCUCGAGGCUCAACUUCGAGCUGUCGGUGGAAACUGUCUGGCUAGAGUCCGGAAGAGGAGAAUGGAACUCCUAGUGUAGCGGUGAAAUGCGUAGAGAUUAGGAAGAACACCAGUGGCGAAGGCGACUUACUGGACUGUAACUGACGCUGAGGCAUGAAAGCGUGGGGAGCAAACAGG